rnacentral:misc_RNA from 1 species
CGGUUUAACACCGGCAGUCUCACCAGAGUCCCCGACAUUACUCGUUGGCAACUGGCGACAGGGGUUUCGCUCGUUAAGGGACUUAACCCGACACUUCACAGCACGAGCUGACGACAGCCAUGCAGCACCUGUGUAUGUUCCACUACAAGAGUGUCGUCCGCCUUUCAGCGGACUAAUCCAUACAUGUCAAGCCUAGGAUAAGGUUCUUCGCGUUGCUUCGAAUUAAGCCACAUGCUCCACCGCUUGUGUGAGCCCCCGUCAAUUCCUUUGAGUUUUAGCCUUGCGACCGUACUCCCCAGGCGGUGCACUCAACGUUUUUACUUCGACCGAGAACAGAGUCAGAUCCUCCUCGAUCUAGUGCACAUCGUUUACGGCGUGGACUA